ACGGAGCGCAGGCCUGCGUGCUGAACGCGGGCCAAGCGACGCGGAGAAGCCGGCCGAGUGAUUUUCUGGGAGGCUCUGCUGGAAUGCCGUGGGCCCGGGCUGUCACGCAGCCGCCGGAGAGGGGAGCCCUGCCCUGAACAGAGCGCCCCUCUCCGACAUCGAUGUGCUCAGCCUCUCAGAAUUGUUUCAUUUCCUUUUCGACGUCUUGAAGAUAUUUUUUCCAAGACUUUCAAAAUGUCUGUUUUUUUAUAUUUUGCAAUUUGGAAAGGGAAUUCUAGCACUAAGUAAUUCUACUUUCAAAAAAGCUUACAUGACGUCGGUCACAUUUGGGAAAAGUGAGGUGUGGAGGGUACCAUCAAAAACUAUGAAAUGUUCGUAACCGAAGAGGAAUUCUCACACAGUUCACGCCGGGAAUGGCAAGAAAACCCACAGAGCUGCAGAAUGACAUUUCUUUUUCACUGCUGGAGUGACGGCGCCCGUAUCUAACAGCAACAACCCUGAUAAGUGACAAACUGACUACGGCUGGGAACAUGCGUUCAGGUGAUGCUGGCGAACACAGACGUGCAGUACUGCCUGUGGGAGAGAUAAGAUGAGGGAUAGGGGUUUAAUAGUUUUCUGUCUGACAAUGUGAUCUUAUCUCUGACCACUGGAAGACACAGUUACCCAUGCAUCUCGCUUCCCUAAAAAGUACACUGCAAUCUUACAAUAGUCUUUUAGCCCAAGGGAUUUACCUAAGAAGGGAUGGCAACCACCACGUAGCCAUGAGUGUUACUCUCUUGAUCAUAAUCAUUAUAAAAUCCUGGAAUUUGAAGUAUAGGUAUGCAUUGGUUUCUCUGUUUAAAUUAUGUUACUUUUCUCCAGUACUCUUAAGGUUUAUUUUUGUGUUCCUGCUCAAAAAAACAUGCAGCCAACAGAUUUUAAAACACACUGUAGUAGAAAACAGCAGUUUUUGAGAUAAAAUAAAUAGCCUCCAUUGUUAGUAGAAACAUGAAGUCACUCUGUAUAAAAUGUAAUUCUUGUAUGACUUUUA